rnacentral:rRNA from 1 species
UACGAGGGGGGGCUAGCGUUGUUCGGAUUUACUGGGCGUAAAGCGCACGUAGGCGGAUCUUUAAGUCAGGGGUGAAAUCCUGGAGCUCAACUCCAGAACUGCCUUUGAUACUGGGGGAUCUCGAGUCCGGGAGAGGUGAGUGGAAUUCCGAGUGUAGAGGUGAAAUUCGUAGAUAUUCGGAGGAACACCAGUGGCGAAGGCGGCUCACUGGUCCAUUACUGACGCUGAGGUGCGAAAGCGUGGGGAGCAAACAGG